rnacentral:rRNA from 1 species
UACGAAGGGGGCUAGCGUUGCUCGGAAUCACUGGGCGUAAAGGGCGCGUAGGCGGCCAUUCAAGUCAGAGGUGAAAGCCCAAGGCUCAACCUUGGAACUGCCUUUGAUACUGUUUGGCUUGAGACCGGUAGAGGUAAGUGGAACUGCGAGUGUAGAGGUGAAAUUCGUAGAUAUUCGCAAGAACGCCAGUGGCGAAGGCGGCGUACUGGACCGGUUCUGACGCUGAGGCGCGAAAGCGUGGGGAGCAAACAGG